rnacentral:rRNA from 1 species
UUAAAUUGAAGAGUUUGAUCAUGGCUCAGAUUGAACGCUGGCGGCAGGCCUAACACAUGCAAGUCGAACGGUAACAGGAAGCAGCUUGCUGCUUUGCUGACGAGUGGCGGACGGGUGAGUAAUGUCUGGGAAACUGCCUGAUGGAGGGGGAUAACUACUGGAAACGGUAGCUAAUACCGCAUAACGUCGCAAGACCAAAGAGGGGGACCUUAGGGCCUCUUGCCAUCGGAUGUGCCCAGAUGGGAUUAGCUAGUAGGUGGGGUAACGGCUCACCUAGGCGACGAUCCCUAGCUGGUCUGAGAGGAUGACCAGCCACACUGGAACUGAGACACGGUCCAGACUCCUACGGGAGGCAGCAGUGGGGAAUAUUGCACAAUGGGCGCAAGCCUGAUGCAGCCAUGCCGCGUGUAUGAAGAAGGCCUUCGGGUUGUAAAGUACUUUCAGCGGGGAGGAAGGGAGUAAAGUUAAU